rnacentral:pre_miRNA from 14 species
UCCCUGGGCGGCAUGAGGACCAAGGCCGUCACUGCUGCUAAUCUGCAACUCUGUUGAGCACACACUGGAAUUGCACUUUAGCAAUGGUGAUGGAGUGUGUCGGUGGCACGGAGAAGGAAC